CACUCCUACGGGAGGCAGCAGUGGGGAAUAUUGGACAAUGGGCGCAAGCCUGAUCCAGCCAUGCCGCGUGAGUGAUGAAGGCCCUAGGGUUGUAAAGCUCUUUCACCGGUGAAGAUAAUGACGGUAACCGGAGAAGAAGCCCCGGCUAACUUCGCGCCAGCAGCCGCGGUAAUACGAAGGGGGCUAGCGUUGUUCGGAUUUACUGGGCGUAAAGCGCACGUAGGCGGACUAUUAAGUCAGGGGUGAAAUCCCGGGGCUCAACCCCGGAACUGCCUUUGAUACUGGUAGUCUUGAGUUCGAGAGAGGUGAGUGGAAUUCCGAGUGUAGAGGUGAAAUUCGUAGAUAUUCGGAGGAACACCAGUGGCGAAGGCGGCUCACUGGCUCGAUACUGACGCUGAGGUGCGAAAGCGUGGGGAGCAAACAGGAUUAGAUACCCCGGUAGUCCCA
rnacentral:rRNA from 1 species